rnacentral:rRNA from 1 species
GACGAACGCUGGCGGCGUGCCUAAUACAUGCAAGUCGAGCGGAUGAAAGAGGAGCUUGCUCCUCUAGAUUCAGCGGCGGACGGGUGAGUAACACGUGGGCAACCUGCCCUGUAGAUUGGGAUAACUCCGGGAAACCGGGGCUAAUACCGAAUAAUCCUUCGGACCUCAUGGUCCGAUGUUGAAAGACGGCAUCUCGCUGUCACUACAGGAUGGGCCCGCGGCGCAUUAGCUAGUUGGUGAGGUAACGGCUCACCAAGGCCACGAUGCGUAGCCGACCUGAGAGGGUGAUCGGCCACACUGGGACUGAGACACGGCCCAGACUUCUACGGGAGGCAGCAGUAGGGAAUCUUCCACAAUGGACGAAAGUCUGAUGGAGCAACGCCGCGUGAGUGAAGAAGGUUCUCGGAUCGUAAAACUCUGUUGUGAGGGAAGAACAAGUACCGGAGUAACUGCCGGUGCCUUGACGGUGCCUCAUUAGAAAGCCACGGCUAACUACGUGCCAGCAGCCGCAGUAA